rnacentral:rRNA from 1 species
GUCGUGAGACAGUUCGGUCCCUAUCUGCCGUGGGUGUUGGAGACUUGAGAGGAGUUGCCCCUAGUACGAGAGGACCGGGGUGAACGAUCCACUGGUGGACCUGUUGUGGCGCCAGCCGCAGUGCAGGGUAGCUAUGAUCGGACAGGAUAACCGCUGAAAGCAUCUAAGCGGGAAGCCCCCCUCAAAACAAGGUCUCCCUUGAGAGCCGUGGUAGACCACCACGUCGAUAGGCCGGAGAUGUAAGCGCAGCAAUGCGUUCAGUUGACCGGUACUAAUGGCUCGAUAGGCUUGAUUU